rnacentral:lncRNA from 1 species
UUAGCAAGAAAGAGAACACAAAACACCUUAAAGCGUGGGUAAGCGGUGCAUAAAAGAUCAAGAUCCACAUUGUACUUGACAAACCACCCAGAGUAGUCUCUUCCCAUCUCCAACACUUCAAAUUUAGUAAAACAAGGCGAAUAAAUAUCAAUAAGAUGCAAAUGGCUGUCACUAGACUCCUUAAAGUAUCUAUACUCCCUAGUUUCCCAGUUCUCCUCACAACGAGGAAGACCAUCAACCAAUCCAACACGCUCUUCAUCUAAGUGAUAAUAUGCCAUCUCACAAAUCCGGCCAACCCAGUGAACUGCACCGUUGCAGUAUACCCCAUCUUGGUAGGAAAUUUGACCUUGAGUUUCAAAAGAAGAAUUGACAAGACUCCAACUUUUAGUCUCAGAAGAAUAUAUCUCUAUGUUAUGGUAACUGCACCAGCCGCAUGGAGUUGGUUCAUCACGGAACCAAAGGAAGACCACCUUGUAAUGAGGUGAUUUGGAAGGGUCAAAAGCCAAAGCACAGCCGAAGAUUCGGGGUUCAGUAGUAGUGGCGGCGGCAGCAGCUGGAGGAACAAGUUUGGUGAACUGGUUGGUUGUGGGAUUGAGAACAUAAUGAUAAAGAGGUGUAAUAACUCGCCGCACGUCCGACCUGUGGAUAACAGAGUUCAGUACAAUUUCAGGAUGGCACAAGAAGAGGCCGUUGCAGGACUGGAUAAUCUUGAUGUUGUCAUGACAUACGUUCGCAAUGAAUUUCAGAGGGUUGCAGCUGGGUGAACCAGACCCUGUACUAGUAGUGCGAUCAUGAUCCAAAUCAAGAGGGAUAAAGCUAAUGUAUCUGGUGAGAUUGCAAAAGACCGCGGAAGCGGAAGGGUUCGGGUUCCGAAGGGUGUGAAGGUGACAGAACUUGGGGUCAGAGAUAAAAGAGAGCCAAUUCUUGGAGACACAUUUGAAGCGGAGCAGAAUUUGAGCUGGAACACGGACAAGGAUUUCCGAAAAGAUAUCAUCAUAGUCCCAUAUGGUUUCUGGUAAGCUGCUGCUGCUGCAGCGUUUUAGUCUCUUCAUCAUAUUGAUUUCUAUCUCAAAGGAUCUAAUUUCGCUUUAUAAGACCUGGACUCUCCUAAGUAAAAAAGGACAGAAAUCCCAGCCCAAACAGAAGACAAAAACCAACUCAAAUUGAAGGACACACAUAAGUUGAAAAGAAAAGAAAAAAAAAAAGGACAAACUUAACUUAAAUUCAAGGAUACUUGUGGAUACGUUAAAAAGGGAGGACAUUGAAUCAAUAGAAGACCAUAAGUUAACAUGCUGGGUUUUCUAAAUGGGAGAUACAUAAGUUGAAGAUUAAGGACGACUCAAUAAGCUGGCAAAUUCACGGAUAAGAAUCUCGGACUCAAUCUAGCAGGAACCAAUAGAAGGACAAAGGUUAAUUUCCGGGGUUUUCUAAUUGGAGAGAUAUACAGAUCUGAGACCCGACACCACCGAAUCCUCAAUCAAUCUUCACUCGACCCUUGUGUAAAAACAACCCAAGUCAGGCAAACAGUAAAAAUCGAAAAUCAAUCAAUUCAAUGGAAAUGAUUAUCUAUCUGACCCCAAUAAGUUUAAAUACGAGCGAAGCACUAAAUUACUUACAGAAAAGAAUGGUUUUUCUGGUUCUUGGUAUGGAUGAUGCUCUGGUUUGUCUGAGGGUUCAGUUCUCGCGGCCGCCCAGAUGGGAGAGUUGCAGGUCUAACAACACGAAGAAGAAAAGAUUUUGUCGGGGAAACAGACAUGUAGUUAAAUGCUUUGUCAGGUGGGUUUUUCUACCAAAAGCCCAAACCAAUGUAUUCAAUGUCACAAGCCCAAACCAAACAAACAAUCCGUUUCAGAUGAGAACACAAGGCAGGUAUAGUAGAAUGAGAGCAUCUUGACUCUUUAUUUUGGUUCCUUUAUAAAAUGGCUGUAUAUUAAGUGCACGUUUGUUAGACAGGAGUAUUCUGGACCUCCUCAUUUCUUAAUAUUGUCCUGAACUUGUGAGAGUAGGCUUAAGAUGCACUAAUUUUGUGCAAUGUUUGGUGGGAUAAAGGACUAAACCUCUUGUGCUAAAUAGUUAAUGUUGUUUUAUUCUGGAGAAAGGAGGAAGGGAACCAGACAACCGGUGAAUAUGUAUGGCAAACUUCCAUAUAUAAAUCAUCUUCAUGAAAAAAAAUUGAUCACUCCCUCCAACGAAGGACACAGCAAACCUCACAGGACCUCAAUCAGCAAAUUUUUGUGCUUGGAAACCUCUUCGUCCUUGAGAAAUCUUCUCAUACAUAUUAUGCAAAAUCUUAGUUUCAUUCAGUUUCAUCAUGUUCAUCAUUUGCAUGCAAUACCCAGACCUGCAUCGACCAAAUUCAGCAAAUUUCUACUCGUUCAUCAAUUACCAACAAUACCCAGACUUUGGAUGAAUCAAAUCCAACAGAUUCUUCUGAACCCAAUUCAAUAUUGGUUGAAUUCAACAACGCCAUCUAUCUGCUAGAUUAGAUACACGCCAAUACCCAAACAACAGAGACCUAAGCUAAGUUCAACAAGGGGUGUAAUCUUGAGAUGGAUGAGCGAGAUGAGAUUGGAAGAAGAAUGUUAGAGCUGAGACUCAACUAGAGGCAGAGAGAGUGUGAGAGAAAUGAGGUGUUAUCUUGGGACACCAAAGCUGAGUACUCAGACUAACACUACUUAAGGAGGUUGAAAAGAGAAAACGGUGUUACCUAGUACCAUUAAGUUUUGUACCGCAUCACACCAAACGUGGGACAAACAUAUUAGCACCUCUUAUAUAAGGCAGUACCAGUUAACCUGUCAAACAAACGUGCACUUAAGAUUCUUAGCUAGGUGAUCCAGGCCUAAGUGCAGGGAAUGCUAGAAUAGUCAGCAAGAAAGCUCCGGUGAUGAUUCCUACCACCUGUAAAUAGAGUUGGUCUUAAGUUCCAAUCUUCCUUUGGGAUGACCCAAACAACUGAGUUAAAAAGAACAAAACUUAUAUGCUUAAUUACCUUUUAAUCCUGACUGAUACUUUUGUAGAAAAGACUGCCAAUCUUCAUUAGGCCCCUCCCUUUUCCCUAUGUUCUUGUUUCCAUGCUAAAUACUUGAUUUUUAGAUACCCUUUUGCCUCAAGUUGCUAGCCAAACGAAACAGUUCACAACUUUAUAUGCAGAUAGAUUAGUACACAACAGAAUUCACAGAAUUCAUGAAGGUGUAGAAUACAUAGAUAGAUAUAGCACCACUGUAUAACUAGUAAAUUAAUAAGAGGAACAUAAAACUAAAUCAGUCCAACCCUCAAAAGCAUAUAAUUUGAUCAGUUUGAUCAGCUACCCCCUUCCACGAUUUGGGAUAUCUCUUUGGAAGUUUGAAGGGUUCUCCAAUGUUCGUCUUUGUUGAUCAAAAUGAACCAUACAGCAUGACAUUCUACGUUUCUUAUAUCCAAGUGGAAGUUUGUACUCCUACAAAAUGGCAAAUAAUUCUCUUUAAGUAGGAAAACUAUGCAAAACCAGAGAGAAUUUGCAUCUCUAUGUCAGUUCCUACAUCUUACGGUACAUGUUGGCUCAUCUCAUCAGUGAGCAAAUAACUAACUAUAUGCAAGACUACUGUAUAUAAACAUCAUUCGUCCAACCAGGACUAGGUAGGGGAAAAAGAAAACUAGCUUUACAGUUUAUAUAAGAAAUGGAAAGAUACUGAAAAUCCAUACUCUUAUUAGAAUGACAUUAAUUGUCAAAUACAGGCACAACUUAUACAAGCUUUUCGGAUACCAAACUGAUAGUUGUUGAGGUAGCAAAAAACCAGUAGAAAGAACAAAAAUAAAAAACCGUCACACACAAGCCAAGGUCUCCAUGUAUCGAUGAUUAGACUGGCCAACCCGGAGAGAAGAAGUAUCAUCAACACCGGCCUGGGGUGUUAAGUCAAUCGAUUUGAAGGUGUGACUCUUAAGAUUGUAAGAUAAGACUUUUCCACAAUCAUGCAGCAACAGAGAUGAACCUUCCUCUUCAUUUUGACCUUUAGCAAGAAAGAGAACAACAAAUGCCUGAAUCCAUGGGUAAGCAGUGAAUAAAGGAUCAAGAUCCACAGUGUACUUGACAAACCACCCAGAGUAGUCUCUUCCCAUCUCCAACACUUCAAAUUUAGUAGAACAAGGCCAAUAAAUAUCAAUGAGAUGCAAAUGGCCGUCACUAGACUCCUUAAAAUAUCUAUGUUCCCUAGUUUCCCAGUUCUUCUCCUCAGAAUAAGGAAAACCAUCAACAAAUCCAACACGAUCUUCUUCUAUGUGGUAGUAUGCCAUCUCAGAAUCAUCGCCCACCCAAUGAACUGUGCUGUUGCAGUAUACCCCACCUUUGUAGGAAAUUUGACCUUGAGUCUCAAAAGAAGAAUUGAGAAGCCUCCAACUUUUAGUCUCAGAUGAAUAUAUCUCUAUGUGAUGGUAGCUGCACCAGCCUGUAGAACUUGAGUCAUCAACGUUCCAAAGGAAGACCACCUUGUAAUGAGGCGAUUUGGAAGGGUCAAAAGCCAAAGCAUAGCCGAAGAUUCGGGGUCGAGUGGUAGUGGCGGCGGCAGCAGCUGGAGGAAUAAGUUUGGAGAACUGGUUGGUUGUGGGAUUGAGAACAUAAUGAUAAAGAGGUCUAGUAGCUCGUAGCACAUCGGAAUCGUGAAUAAUAGAGUUCAGUACAAUUUCAGGAUAACACAAGAAGAGGCCGUUGCAGGACUGGAUAAUCUUGAUGUUGUCAUGACAUAGGUUGGCAAUGAAUUUCAGAGGGUUGCAGCUGGGUGAACCAGACCCUGUACUAGUAGUUCGAUAAUGAUCGAAAUCAAGAGGGAUAAAACCAAUGGAUCUGGAUAGGUUGCAAAAGACGGCAGAGGCAGAAGGGUUCGGGUUACGAAGGGUGUGACGGUGACAGAACUUGGGGUCAGAGAUAAAAGAGAGCCAAUGCUUGGAGACGCAUUUGAAGCGGAGCAGAAUUCGAGCUGGAACACGAACAAGGAUUUCCGAAAAGAUAUCUUCAUAGUCCCAUAUGGUUUCUGGUAACCUGCUGCUGCUGCAGCAUCUAAGUCUCUUCACCAUUCAAAUUUGUUUUUGGUUCCUAGAGGGGGAGGCUUUAUAUACCUAACCUACACUCUCCUAAUUACAAAGGACAGCAAUCCCGACUCAACUAGAAAACACAAACCGAAUUGAAUAUUUGGACUACCAAAAGUCCAACCCAUUUUAUUCAAUGAAAGAAGCCCAACCCAAAAAGCCUCUAUUGUAACCGCAAAACGUUGCGUUUCAGUCGAGUCCUGGAUCAUCUCUCUCUCUCUCUCUCUCUCUCUCGCAGUAUCAGUUUCAGCAAGAAAAAGGCGCAUGGCGAUGGAAUUAGAAUUAGGGUUUCCGUACUGGAAAGCCCUCCGUCGGAAGUUUGGUCCUGAAUCUCCGUUCUUCUCCUCCGGCAACAUCGAAAGGGAGUUGCUCGUCAAACAGGUUCUUUCUUCUCUUUCAUUUCUCACUUUCAAAUUUCAAAUAUUUCGUCUUGCAAUUUGUGUUUGAAUUUUCAAUAAAAUUACUGUAAUCUUCUGUAGCUUGCGCUGGAUUUGACUGAAGAUGAGAAGCGAGAGCUUCGGAGUUUCGUGGAUGUGGAAGGCAGGUAUUCAUGAGUAGCAUUAGAGUUUUGUUACUGUGAUGAAUUUGUGGAGUUUAAUUAGGAAAUAUGGAAAGAUGAAAGCUUUAGGGGGAUUGAUUUGAUGUGUUACGGUGCAGGGGUGUUUUCUGUCCCAUUGUUGGUUGUGGAGCGAGAUUGAUUUGCUUGGAGGACUUUGAAGAUCAUUACAAUGCUCGUCACUCUGCAUCUUGCUCUGUGUGCUCUAGAGUCUAUCCGACGUCCCGCCUGCUCGGCAUUCAUGUUUCUGAAGCACACAGUUCUUUCUUUCAGGCCAAAGUCGCGCGUGGUGAUCCCAUGGUAUAUUCGGUUUAUAGUGUUCUAUGUUGAUAUUGUCUGAGGAAUGAAGAUGCGAUAUGUUUCUGUUUACCCCAAUAGAUUGUCAUGUGUUUCUGUCUCUACUAGCUGUGUGACAGUUCCCUCUUUCAUUACCAAUUUAAAUUGUUGGGAGCUCAAACAUGAAUUAGAAUUCAUUCCAAGCUUUUCUGUUGGGAUCCUAUUUGAAUCUUCGACUUAACAUUGUUAUUCUUCAAAUUUCUAAUCAGACAAGUAUAUAGAGGUGAUACUAGCGUGAAGAGGGCUAAUACUAUAUGCUAGAUGAUAACUUACAUAUCAAUACAUGUGCUUUCCAGUCUUUAUAUCUUACAUCUUGUUAUCGAACCUCCUUACUGGUUUAAGUCAUUUGAAUUGGUUUCAUUGUCUGUCUGUAACAGUAUGAAUGCCUCGUAGAAGGCUGUGAUUUGAAAUUGAAGAGCUAUAAAAGCAGGCAACAGCAUCUGGUGGAUAAGCAUAAAUUCCCCACUUCAUUUGAGUUUUACAAGAAGGCUCCUCCUUCCAAAAAGCGCAGGCAGAAGAAUCAAAGAAAGCAAGCUUUUGUUAAGAAGGCAGAUGCAUCUGAUAUGGAAGUGGAAAAUGAAGUCAUUGAUGACACUAAUCAUUCGAGAAAACAGAAGAAGAAUCAACGGAAGCAAGCAAAUCUUAAGAAACCUGAUGCUUCUAAUAUGGAUGUUGGAAAUGAAGAUAUCGAUAAUCUUGCUUCUGCUGUCUCCAAGUUAAGCACUUCAGACUCCAGCCCCUCAUCCAUCAGCUUUGGUCGUCGACCCACUCGUGGCCUGACGUUUGUUCCUAGAGCUGUUCAACGGGAGAAAAAACCAGACUCCACAUAGGUUAAAACAAAGAGAUCGCGACCUCACUACCCAAUUCAAGUGGGAAUUGCUUAAAUUAUUUGUCUUCCACCAGAGCAAGUACAUAAUGGCUUCUCAAAAUGUACUUGGAAAUUAUUGUAGGGAUUCAUCUUGGAAGAUUUUGAAUGCUGACGCGGAGGAUUAGUUGUUUACUUGAUGAGUGUCUGGUUUCAAAGAAUGUGUUAGGCACACUAAUGUGGUGGUUAUUGUUGUAAUCUUGACGACUUAAGCAAGGUGCUUCAUGUAUUACCUUCGAUACUUUGAUGGCAUUUACAUUUUGGCAUCUGUCUUGUAACCAAAACAGCACCGGCAAACAGUGCUCGUUUAAAACACAUCAGCAACACGACAUGUCGUCUAAUAUGAAUUACUGUCAGCAUAAAAUCCCCUGUUUUCUCUAUGCUCAGCUCAUUCUUCUCAUUCCUUGUUGUUGUUCACCCGCAAGGCCUUGAAUUCCAAAAUUCCUUAAGAAAUGGACGCCAUAGAUUCAGUGUUUGAGCUUGAGAGAAUUCUCCAAGGACAGCGUUCGCUUGGUCAAACGCUGCCACAAACCCGACCGGAAAGGUAAUCAAUACUCCAUUUCAAAUCCAAAUCGGAUCAGUUUCUCUUGGCACAUUGAUGCGAUGUGUAAAUCCCAAUCCAUGUGAUAGUUUUGUAUGAGAAAACUAGAUUGAUACGGUGCGUUUUGCAUGCAACAGAGUUCACAAAGGUGGCGAUCCGUACGGCCAUCGGGUUCGUGGUGAUGGGAUUCGUUGGCUUCUUUGUGAAGCUCAUCUUCAUCCCCAUCAAUAACAUCAUCGUCGGAGCUGCCUAGGUAAGAUCCUCUCACCAAUCUGCAUGCAUGAUCAAACAAUUAUGAGUAACUUGUGUGUGACUGAUUAUAUGAGUUUCAUAUAGAUCCAUCUGUACAGUACCUUAAUGUGUUGAAGAAUCAUUAAUAGAUGUGAGUAUAAGAAAACUAGGUGAAUUCCUGUCUUCCUGAUUCUGCAAUGAUUGUGGUCGUGCAGGUCAUUUGGCACUUGUAAGAAAGAUGGAGCUAUCAAGAAUCACUAGAUAGGGAACAGAUCUACCAGACUACCAAGUGCGUUGUGAUGCUUAAAAGUUUACCAAUUGUUAGUCUUCUAAGAAAGAUUCUAGUCUCGAAGCUUGUUCUUUUGUAAUUCAGAGAUGUUUAAGUUCAGCAAUCUAUUACUUAUUUUCUCACACUAACCAAAUCAUUGAAAAGCUUAGAGAUAAUUUGCAAGGUCACAAGCACAUUCUGGUGAGAUUUAGUCAUGUACAAUGAAUUACAGGCCUUCGAUGAACUCGUUACUGUAAAAUCUAGUGAUGAAUGACAGUAAUAUGAAAUCAAAUUUCCAAGAAUGUCAAAGCAUCACAGUUUGUACUCAUGAAUAUGUAACCAAGUAAAGCCCGCUGUAGAACAUUGCAGUAAUGAGUUUUAGUCUUCCAUAUACGUGAGAAGUACAUCAGAGAGGGAUUAAAAUCUGCAUACUUGAUACAACACUCUGAGACUUCUCAGUGGUUUGAAUACAAAAUUAUACAAAAAGGAGAAGAAACAUGCUGCAUUUGAUGGCACUUCAUAUAGGAGAUGUGCAACAAUCAACAAAGAGCAUUGUUCUCUGCACCAUUAUCUGCAGAUGCAAGAACCAGUUGUGGUUUGUUCUGAAGGAUAUAGGCUUCCUUUCUUGCUUUCUUUUUCUCGCGUUGUAGCUUGAAGUUCUCCCUCUUCCUAACCCUGUAGCUGUUGGGGUUUUCAGGCUGUAUCUCCCGAGGGUAAACACUCACCUGUCAAUUAUUCAAGUAAGCGAAGUUUCAUUUAGUAAUAGUGUACAGUCUUUCAAACACUGUUAAGUUCAGGAGCUCCAAAUCAAACCUUCUUCCUGUCUGGUCCGAACUUCUCAAACUUAACCAAGCCAUCUAUCAAGGAGAAGAUGGUAUGGUCCUUGCCGAGCCCUACAUUCUUCCCCGCAUGGAACUGAAAACAAUGCGAAACAACAAAAGAAACCACAUCUUUCAGAAACCGGAUACUAUUCACCAAAUAGAGCAUUGGAACAUUCAGAUUACUGCCCAAAAAUACAGCCCUUGAAUGCCUUAACUGACAUCCAAGUCAAAACACUGACAAAACAUGUCUCUUUACAACCAAAUAGCUUCAUCAAAACACACUGCCUAGAAUCAUACUUUCAAUUCAUGGUUAACAUGGAAAACCAUACGUCAUUAUCUUCAAAUGUUAUACCCAAAUGCUUAAUCUUCUCGUAGUAAUCACAAGGCAGCCAUUUCGAUUCACUACAUCUAAACAGUUCUAGUGACACUUUCUUCUGACCAAAUCAAAAGGCGCAUUUGGUAUAGCAAAUUCAGUACAAAUUUAAGUGCUCAAACAACACCAAAGUCCCAACCUUUCUUCAAUAGUAUUCAACAGCAGUAAAAAGCAAGGACAUUUCGGGAACAAUUUACCUUGGUGCCACGCUGACGUAUGAUGAUAGCGCCGGGCUUGGCCACCUGGUCGCCGUAAAUCUUAACGCCGAGCCUUUGGCCUUUGGAAUCGCGACCGUUCUUGGUACUCCCAGCUCCUUUCUUGUGAGCGUUUUGAAUCGUCAACGGCAAUCUCCGUUGGGUUGUAGACAAUGACAGCUUUGGACCCAACUGUAGGGAACCCAAGUCACCUCUGAAGAAAGAGGAGGACGAAGAAGAGGAGGUUGAGAAGCUUGAGCUCAGAGCCAUCCCUCUGAAUGCUCCGACUAGGUUGAAACUCAUAGACGCGACCGCCAUUUUGAGAGGGAUUAGUUUUUCAUAAAAUCAAAAAGGGUGUGAAAUUCUGGGAAAUUUGGAGGAGGAAGAAGAAGAGGAGGAGGAGGAGAUAAUGGUGAAUAAAACCUUAUCUUGGAGACUCAGGAUUAAUCAGAGCCGUCCACGUCCGCAUAUGACAGUUUGCUGUUAAAAUUAUGAUUUUCAAUAGAUUAUUUUUAUUUUAUGGCAAUCAAAAAUUCAAAACUGAAAACUUAUACACAGUGAGCCACUCUAAUUCCAUUAACCACCGAUAUGUAUGGUAAUCUAUCAAAAAUGUUAGGAAGGGUGAAGAAGCACACAAUAAUGGUAAAAUUCAAAGGUUAAAAAAAAAAAUGAAAUUUCUCAAAAAUUUGUGUGUUAUAAGAAUGAGUUUUGGCUCAAAUCAGAUGAAACUUGAGGUGAGAGGUAAUACGUGUUCCACACAAUAGCAUAGACUAAUUAGUGGUGCACCUUCUAGGGAGUUGUAGAUCUGACCUAAAGGGCAAAGAAAAAAUUUAAUUUUGUCUGGUCGGCCUUGUACAGUGAGUGGUAGUACAGAGGCCGAAAUAAGCGAGCAUGAUAUAUUUAGUGAGUAGUUCUAUCAUACAUUCCAUUGUGAGCAUUCUUUACUACUUUUUGUCUAUCUGUACAUGGUAGAUGAAUGGCGUGUAAUGGCUACUCUUCCUAUUCGUCCAUGAGACUUCCUGACUCAUGGAGACACAUGCCACCCCGUUUAGGUCUCCCCAAAGGUCCCAAGAAAGACUCGCUUAGUGCCCCAUAAGGCCAGCACCGAGGGUGGUGGAGAGUCUGACACCAAGUAUCCCUUUAUAUAACAUAUUAGACAAAUUCUCAUUUGGCAGGAGUAAACAUAAAAAAGCCAAGAAAGAUCAACGCCCAUAAUUAAUUCAUGCAACCUCAUAAAAAUAUACCGUCAAGUGCGUUAAAAUCCUUUCGACAUUGCAGACAAUUUUCGUGUUCAGACUUUUCCCAAAUUCCAAACCGAAGUACCUCGAACUAAAAGUUUUACUUAAAUACGACAUUGCCACCUCAUGCUUGCCAUGAACAUGUUCCUCUUAUGCAUCACCUCCAUAGAGUGUCACAAUGACAUCACUUUUUGUGGUGAGUGGUGACACUGAGAAUAGAUCAUUAAGGAUAUUUGUAGUUAAAAAGAUAAAUGUUGGCUAAACAAAGUAGUUAAUGCAUUGAAAUAGCUCGGUUCAGUAGAUAUGAGCCAAAAACCAAGCGCCAGGCAUGACAAAGCAACUUUCCUAUUUCAAACGAAGAAAAGUAGCAUGCAUAUAUUAUCAAAUGUCCGGUUCAAGGGACACCAUAUUUAACACAAAUUUUUACACUGUUUUUAAGCCAUUAGAUUUAAAAACGUUCGAUGAUCAGGAUUUAAAGUUUGAAUGACGUGGAAAUUGACAUGGCAUCACAUUUCUAAUAGAUAAUUAUAAUUAUAUUAAGCAUUAUAAGAAAAAAAAAAAUCUUUCAAGAAACAUUGUAGCAUUGGAUCAAAAGAAAGAUUAAAAAAGAAGAGGAAAACAGAACAAAGAUGGAGACGGCCAAAAAUACACAUUUGACGAUCCGAACCGGAGUAACUUCGAUAAAAAUUAAGGGUUGGUGAUUGAAGCCAAUCAAUAUGAAUGGAUGUUGCCAGUCAGAUCUGGAGUUCUAUGGUUGUUGUCCCCUCUCUCUCUCUCUCAAGGUUUAGAAACUUCUAUAAUGGAAUUAUACGGAGGUUUCCUGAAUUCAGUUUCAAAAUCAAAAAUGAAAAACAAUACGAUGAGUAUAGGUCGUUAGUGACAAAGUAACGUAUGAGCUGUUUGUAAUUUGAUUAGGUAUUAUUCGAUGUGAAUAUGUGAUAACCAGAUUUCAACUCUAUAUGUCUUGUUUCUCCUUUCUAUAAUAUAGAUGCUGGAAAAUAGCAUUACAAAAUACAAAUAUUAAAUUGGCCACGCUUAGCUACUGAUCUGUAUUCGAAAGCAACUGGUAAGCUUUGGUAAGCUUUGCACAUCAAUAAUUAACAAAGCAAAUUGUAGAUGACUAUAGAUGAGAUUAAUAUAAUGCAUCAACGCUUAAUUUUAUUAAACUGUCUCUGCCUCUUUAUUGGACCAAGUCCUAACCUGCAUAUAUAAACAAUAUAAAUUACUCCAGCUAGCGUCAAGUUGUAUAUUUUUGCAUUUAAGCCGACAUCAAUAGUACGUAGUAACCAGCUACUAGGGAUCGCAUGACGAAAAAUAAAAUGUACACAUGCAAUAACAAUAAUCAUGAAGUAUAAUUCCAAAUUUCACUAAUGAAAUAUGUAAACGAUCACUAGUAACAACUACAGGUUUAAAUGUCGUUAUUGAAGUUUAAAUCACAAUCUAUUCUUAAUGACAAGAGAAAUGAAGCGUUGUAACAUGAGCCGUCUAUUAUACACCUAGAAAGUCUUUAAGAACACCAUAUUGAACUCAAUCAAAAAAGAAUGAUCAUUACCGAUUCAACUUAGGAUACGAUGUACUGAUUAUAAAUUUGAGUCAAUGAUACAGACAAAAUUGCUUAAUCGACUCAUCGGCUAAAGUAUCAAAGCUCAACAAAUUAAGCGGGUGAUGAAAACUUUGAUGGAAUCUCCCACUCAACAAUCUUAUAGAUCUUUAGAAAUGAGGAUAGUCUGGUUAUCAGUACUCAUUGCUUAAUACACUAACUUUUUCUACUUCGAAUUAAAAAAAAAACUUAACAUUGUGUUUGGAUAAAAUAAUUUCAAUUUCCAUAGAAUUUUCAAAAUUAUAGGAAUUACAAUUCCAUGAAUUUAAAUUUUAUCAAUUAAGAAUUUCAUUGUUUAGAUUUCAUAAGGUAUAGUUUUAAAAUGACAAGAUUUUAUAUUCAAACUAGGGCUGCCACUCGGUCGGUUUGAAUCGGUAAUGGGCGUUACCAACUUUAAAACCAAAGUUUCGGUAAUGAAAUAUGACUUUCAAUUACCAAACCAAAAACUUCGGUAUGAGAUAAAUCUUACCAACUUCAGAUGUCGGUUUUUCGGUAUUACCAAACUUCACAACAAAUAUAUUUUCAAAAUAUAACAAAACAAUACAAAACUAUAAAAUUUAAAUAUCACUUGAGUUUCUAGAGUCUGAUAAUACAUAUACAAAAGAUAGUCAUUUCAGUACACAUUAUCGAGUAUGGUUUAAUUUUCUACCGAAAUAGUCAGGAUGUAAAUGUUUCCAAAUUUUUAUAUGAACAAGUUAUGUGUCAUCUAGGUGAAAGCAUGUGUGUGGAAGAGUCGACCAAAAUAAGUCACAUAAGGGCAGUAAAAGCUUUUUCGUGUAAUAAGUGACGUUAAAUUAUGGUUGACCGCUUUGAUCAAGACCCGAGCAUUAUUGAGUACAAUUGAAUUUUCAUCAUAAUUGUAUUAUACUAUAAUGAUCACAUCAGACGGUCGAAUUUUAGUUUUGUGAAUUGUAAUCAUUGGAACCACAACAUGCCUGGUAAUGUGAUAUAACUUAUUUAGUNNNNNNNNNNNNNNNNNNNNGUACAUCUUUGUGAACCAACUACAAAGAGGAAGCAAAAUUUUCAAAAACCUUGUGAACUAUGAUGUGAUCAAUAUAGUGAAAUACGGCUAUGGUAGAAAAAUUAGGUAUUUUUGAUAAUUUUUUGGCCUUGAUCAAGGCGGCUAACCCUAUUUACGCUUGUGCUUCCUAUGGAGAGCCCUAUCAUCAAGAGAGGUAAAAACAUUUCUAAAUUUUUACAUGGGCGGUUACAUGUCAUCUAAGUGGGUUUGUCUAUGUGUGUGUGUGAUGAAUCGACUAAGACGGGUAGGUAAGAGCGUUUUUAUAUAACAAGUAACAUUGAAUUAAAGUUGAUCGCUUUAAUUGAGACCCGAAUGCUACCAAGUAUAGUUGAAUUUUUCUAUUCAUUGUCUUGUUUUUUACUAAAUGGUAUAUACAAUUGAAAACGUGAGAUAAGAUUAUUAGUCUGUGUGUUUUUAGAAAUAUAAGUCUUUAAAUAAUUAGAAUUUCGGUAAAUUCUGUAUUUACCAAAAACCAAACCAACUUUUUCGGUAUUUCUCGGUUUCGGUUUUUUUUAUUUCGAUUACCAAAAUUUGGUUUACCAAAUCAUAAAUUUUCGGUCGGUUUGGUAUUUACCAAACCAAGUGGCAGCCCUAAUUCAAACUAACCUCGGUUAAGGGAAUUGACAAAUGACACCUAUUUUGGAAUUCAACUCGGGAAUUUAAGCUCCCGAAUUCUACAAUUAUUUUUUCAUGAAAAUUACUAAUUCCACUUGAUAAAAAUCCGAACAGGGAGAAACAGACAUAAGGAAUUAAGAAUUCUUUAUUUUUGAUUAAAUUUAUGGGAAUUCACCUGCAUCUAAAAACACUGUAAAUAUUUGAAUACUGUAUAUAAAUUAAUUAUCCUCAAGAUUCACAUUUUAAAUUCAAUUAUUAGUAAGUCCCCGCAAAUUCAAUUAUUAUAGCAGUCAUUAAGUAUUAAGUCCCCGCAAAUUACGUGACAAGCAACUAAGCAAAGCAUGUGACGUUAGAUUUGAAGUUUCCCUUUUUAUAAACAAAGACUUGGCUUCGAUCCAAUCUGUUCGAGAGUUGACUCUCGUGCUUGUUCACAGUUAUAAAUCGACAGGAUGUAUCCUUUUGUUCUGUCCAUCCAAGCCAUCUCACUUAUUAAGCCACCCAUCGUCUUUGAUAUCUAAAACCCAAAGAUCGACUUUCGUCCACUGUUUUCAUUUCUCUUCACAUUUAACUCUCCCCAGCAGCCUGCACAUUUGUGGCUUGUUGUUUCAUUUUUACUUUGAUUAUUUCUCUAGUACUUCUAGUAUUCAGAAACCCAUAAAAAAAAAAAAAAACCAAACAAACAAAAGGUAUGGCCUUUAUUUCUGCUGAACUCCUGACUUGUUUUUUUUUUUUGGUUCUAAUGUAUACUGAAAAUUAAACCCUUCAUCCUUUUGUUUACCUUUGUCUGUGUCUAUUUCAGAUGUGGACUCCGUUUGUAUUCUGUUAUGUGUUUAAGCGGAGAAUUUGAAGGAGUGACAUACCCUGCAUUCAUAGGUCAUAUUACCGAAUACAAACUGUAAGUUGCCUGCCUUUACAUCGUUUUUGCUAUUUACUUCUCUUCUAAUGUUCUGUCCAAAAUUAGAAUCUUCACUUUUGUUCUUAUGGCCCUUUUCACAAAUACAGAUUGUGUUUCUACUGUUCUUGUUUUAAUCAGAGGAUUUGGAAGAGCAUCUAUACCCACAUUCAUACGUCAUUACUAAAACAGCCAAGGUACUGUGUCCUAUACUUUCCUUCUUCAAUUUUAGUUUGCUCUUUUUCUCUUUUCUUUAUUUUUGUUUUCGAUUUUGCAGCAUCAAAGAUCUAAUCUUGUGUAAACUGUAUUUCAUAGUUACUUCAUUAACGCUUUUUUUUCCUUUUUUUUUUUUUUCUAAAAAGAAAAAGAUUAAGCCCAGUACUAUUUGGUCUAGCGGCAUAGUCUCAUUUUAAUAAGUGGGAAGUUGUGAGUUCGACUCACGAAAGACUAGUUGUAACAUUCGAGUUUAUUUAUCUGAUAAAAAAAAGAAAAAAAAAUUAAGAAUAAAUUUAAACAUUGGCAUUCCCAUGUAAACAAAGGAAAGCUGAUCUAGUCCUACCUUUAAUUAUAGAGUGCGGCUAUUGAUUAUUGAGACCUCCAACUUUGCUCAGUAUACCUCUUAUACUCUUUACACCUCUUUUUUUAUUUUAACUACAAGCAUUUGCUCAUUAGACCUCCUUUCAAAUUCCUAAAAUAACCUUAAGUAUAUUAUUCACAUAUAUCUUGAUAAUUUACUCAUUAUACAUUUUAUUUAUUCUCUAGACCUCUCGUUGUUUUAAUAUAUUUUUCUUUUUGCAUGCUAUCAUCGAGACCUCUAUUUCUUGAUUUUUUUUUUCGUUCAAAUCUCUUUCACGACCUCCAUUCCUUGAUAUUUUUUUAUUUCCCAUAGAAUGUCACCAAACCUCUAUUAUUUGAUCAACACUAGUGGAAAAAAGCACUUAGGAGACGGAAUUAUUUCGUCUCCUAAGUGACAGAUUUCGUCUCCUAAAUACUUAGGAGAUGGAACGUCUGUCGCCUAAUUGUGGUGAGGUAGACACUUAGGCGACGGAACCUGAAAUUCAGUCGCUUAAGUGGUUCUUAGGAGACGAAAUACUUUCGUCUCCUAAGAACUUAGGCGAUGGAUUUUUAUUUUAUAAUAAAAAAAUUAUCCACAUAGGAGACGGAAUAGUUGAAUUCCGUCGCUAAAGGCUGAAAAAGAAUUUUUUAAAAAAAAACGCCACCGCAGUAAAGUUUACUGCCCCCUAGUAAACUUCUACUGCCUCCUAGUAAACUUCUACUGGGGAUCAGUAGACUUGCAAAAAAUAACUCUCUUUCAAUUUCAGGGGCACAACACACAACAUAUACCAAUUCUUACCCUAAUAAACAAUUUUAUUGGCCUCUAGUGAACCCAGUAGAAGUUUACUGCCCCCUAGUAAAGUUCUACUAGGGAUCAGUAAAAUUCAAUACAGUAUCUCCAUUUCAAUUUCAUGUCAAUUAUACACAACAGAUACCCAUUCUUACCCUAAUAAACAAAUUUAUUGCCUCCUAGUAAACCUAGUGGAACUUUACUGCCCCCCCCAGUAAACUUCUACUGGGGGUCAGUAAACUUCAAUACAGUAUCUCCCUUUCAAUUUCAUGCCAACAAUCUGCCCCAAAUAUACCACCACCACCAAAUCCAAAACAAACUAUUAAAAAUAAUUACUAAAAACAAUUAAAUACGCAUUUUGGAAGCCUAAACGGACUCGGAUGGCCUAAAACGCCCAUACGUCGUGGCGCAAUGACGAGUUUGGUUCGUUGGGCAGUUCCGUUUUUAGAAAGGGAUCAUAAUGAUCAAUCAGACACCGAACGCCAAAUCUGGAGCAAACCGGGUUUAGACUUAUUUCGAUCGAUCUGCUCUUCAAUCUCUAUCGUCAUAUGUUCUACAUCACCGGUGGUGGGUCGGCGAGAAGGCUUGGUAGAGAGGGGGAGGUUGUUGGCUCCGAAGAGGGUGCAGAAGUGGCCGGGUGAUGUUGAAGAGGGUCUUGACGACGUUGAAAGUGGUGGCGUUUGUGAGGACGAAGUCGAUGAGUGCAUGGCGGUUGGAGGUGGCGUUGGUGGGGGUGGUGCAAUUGAAGGUGGCAGCGGAGGAAAGAGCGGUGAUAAUAGAGAGAGAGGUCGGCAUGAGAGUGAUGGUCUGGAGAGAAAGAGAAAGAGCUCUAGGAGAAGAUGGGUUUCCUUCUAUUGAUAAGGUUAGUGAGUGUGUGAUUUAAAAGAAUUGAUAUGUUUUGAAAAAUUUUGGUUUGAAUUUUCAUGAAAUUUUACGCGGGAAGAUGGGCGCUCAAAUUUUUAGAACUUAAGCGACGGAACAUAAUGUUCUAUUUCCUUCGUCUAAGUGAUUCAUAAUUAUUAUUAUUAUUUUUUUAAGAAAACAUUUCGUCGCCUACGUAAAUAUUUCCGUCUCCUAACUUAGGCUACAAAAUAUGUAAUUCCGUCUCCUAAGUGAUUCAUAUAAAUUUUUUAAUUUUUAUUUUUUCAAAAUGUCAUUGUCUAAGUAAAAAUAUUCCCUCUCCAAAGUAGUACUUAAGUGACAGAAUGAAUUCCGUCUCCUAAGUUGUUCUUAGGAGACGAAAUCAAAAUAUUUCGUCUCCUAAGUACAAAAUUCCGUCGCCUAAGUGCUAUUUUCCAGUAGUGCAAUUUGUAAGAAAGUAAUUUCAAUGACGUCAACUUUUCUCUUAAAAAUCAAAUAACACAAAGUAUUGGGUUUCAAAAAUUUAUAUUUACCAGCCCAAUACCGUCUCUCCUUAUAAAUAAGAGGUCGUGAGUUCGAUUCACAGUAGACUCGUUGUAUUUACUAACAUAUAAGUUAUAGCAUAUUACUUGUGUAUCUGAUUUAAAAAAAAAAACUUGUAUUUUCCAACAAGAAAAUAUAUGCUUUCAACAUGUAUGAUAGAAGAAAAUUUAGAAAAUAGUAAAUUAGAAAUUAAAAAUAUAUAAGGAAAACAGUAAAGAAUACAAUCAAUUAAUUAUCAAAUUAGAAAGUUUAGAGAGAAUAAAUAUACUUCUUUUUGUAUGAUUAUUGUUCUUAAUAGUCAUUAUGUAAGAGGAGAUAAUUGUUAUUCAAUAACUCAUAACAAAAGGUGGUCAAGUAAGUAAAUUUGGAGGUCUCAAUAGCCGCACUCUUAAUUAUAUAGUUUCAUAUCGACGGCCUAGAUCGUUUGGUGAAUAGAAAAAGAUGCUCUAGAUUAAACCUACUAUAAUUUCUAUUUUUAAUACGGAAAUUCUAUGGUAACUACUCGUAUGUGAUACCCAUAUUUACAAAUGUGACCACAUAUUUGUAAUCAGAGUGGUAAUGUUGAGUCGUAUUGUUUGUAAUCUUAUUCUAGUAUUGUUCUUUUAUCAAUUAAACAACUCAAAUGUUACAACGAGUCUUUUAUGAGUCGAACUCACGACCUCCCACUUAUAAAAAGGGGAUUAUGUCACUAGACCAAAUGGUAUUGGGUUUGUUCUGGUAAUUGUAAUUACAAAAAUGUACAACUAUGUUACAAAUUUUUUUUGUUCAACAACAUGUAAAAUAAAGUAUGAUAUACAUCUGAGUACAGUGGCUUGUCUCUUUUUAAUAAAAUUUUUGGAUAAUAUUGACUUCUAACAAAAUUAUUAAAAAUAGCUUUGAUGCUUGAAAGUUCCUCCGAAAAAUCCCACGAACUUGUAAAGACCUUUAGUUUAAUCCUAUGUGCUCAAAAAACAAAAUUUGACAAAUCAAAAUUUUAAUUUAUUUUUGUAAACAUCAGGGAAUUUCAAAAUAAUAUAAAUUGAAAUAUGAAAUAGCCCUGUAUGAAUCUGCCUUUCAAAAUAGAAAACCUAAUUUCGUGGAUGUUACACAAAAUUCUCAUAUAGGCCUUCUCAUAUAGUAUGAUUUAUCAAAAUGUGAUAAUAUAUCAAAACAAAUAACAAACGCAUAAAGGAUGAAAGUAACUACGAAAAAUAGUCCGAAGAGUAUAUAUCCUCCACAUACUUGAUCAAUGAAAAGGGGCUAGUUUUUGGUACUGAGGUGUAUAUAUAUUUUUUUUUAAUCAAAAUAUUAAUGAUUUCAUUUACAACACAUGUAGAGAUUACAUUGUGAAUCGAUCUACUGUCUUGUGUACAAAGGGCAAAUAGAUUAUUUGAUACACAAUUAGAUAGUAACCUCCUUGCAAACUUCCGCUCACCCGGUACCACAUGUGAGCCUAUAACCACAUAGUGUAAUAUUAUAGGCCCUUAUUCUAAACAAGAAAAAAAAAAUGCAUAAAAAUUAAACGCAUGAGCCCAUGCCCAUUAGCUAAGGACACCCAAGACUUUGGGCACCCACAUCUCCUACCGCCAGCCGCCGUCUCCGGUGGCCGACCCUGCCGGCAUACAAACAUCACCAUCCUCAAAACGGUUCAUUCAAUCAUUUCACAAUUAAUUGAACAAAAAUUACAAGUUAACUGAAUGUAAUUUAGAACAUUAACUACAAAUGCUGUAUUUGUUUUACACAUUUACAUAUAAUUGAACCAAGUUACUACAACAACAAUAAGUUGUUCAUAAACUUGUAAAUUGUCAUAAGUUGAGUAAUUAUUUCUAAUAAAACAAAAAUUACCCAAGUAACUAUUUUUACCAAAAAGACAAAAUUUGUUGUCAUAUAUGUAAAUGUAAGUAUUACAACUGUGGGACUUCGAAACCAAAAACAGAGGCGAAAACCGCAACCAAACAAACCACACCGAAAAAAAAAGCGCACCAGAAAAAAAAUUGGGCCGAACUAGAUAUGUUCAGUGCAGUUUUCAGUUUCAGUACCACAAAAACCGAACCGAAGCAAAAAAAACAGAAGUUAACGAGCAAAGCUAGUCAACGUCUCAAAACAAUGUCGUUUAUGGUUUUUUUUUUUUCAACCCUAAUUACCUCUCUGAGUCUCGCUAAACAGGUAUAGGUACUUAAGAAAAUCCCUAAUGAACCUUACCAAAAAAAAAAGAAAAUCCCCAAUGAAGGUUUUUUUUUCUUCCUUUUUUGGGAUGAUCAAUGGACUAAACUUGUUUAAUCAAUGAAAGUCCAGUUAAAAAAAAUUCGAAAGAAUCAUUAUUUACAAACUUUAUAAAAUAUUUCAACUCAAAAAUCAAAACAUGAUGUUCAAAUAAAUGCAGCCCCAAGUUCAAAUGUUACUUGAUGAUCAGUCCAGUACUCCAGUAUGUCCAUUACACGUACCUGACCGCAAAUUACUUCAUAAUUAGGUCAUUAGCGAGAGCGUCUGCUACCACGUGAUUGAGUCAUCACUACAUUCGAGUGCGGUCUGACUUGUUGUAGCUAACAUUUUUUUGGGAUCAAUCCCAAGAAACUCAGUGCUACCAUCAACGUCAGGCCAUCAGCUAUAACGAUUUGGUCAGUAUGCAUCAUAAUUGCACAUAACCAAACCAUGGCAUAUGCAUCAUCUUACAAACAACAUAAGAAGACUUCUUAUCGAGAAAUGUCAUAAAUAUCCUAUUUUGAGUUUGAUGCUUUUCCUAACAUACUUCCAGAGUCACAAACCUUUCGUUUCUCGGUAACUAGGGUCCCCAAGAGUUGACAGACUUUGACCAAAUACGAGUAUGUUCACAAUUUUCCCAAAUGGACGGCACUUUCUUCAAAGCGAUAAUGUCCAUUUGAAUCAAAACAGGAAUUUUAGUGCCUACUUGGUCCAAAAAACUUUUGUAGCAUCCAUUCUAACAGGCCCGCUCACCUGCGGGACACUAUUUACAGGACAGAAAGGGACGAAUCACUCACAGUCUUUGGAUUUUAAGUGACUAAAUCUUACGGUUAUAAUGGCUCUAGCCUUUUAUCCAAUUCUUAUCCCAAAUUCCCAACUCAUGCGACCUGCACCAUCUUCUGCUCACAAAUUUGUCCAAGCCAUGCCCAGAUUUUCUGUUGAUCUUCUUGUCCUCUCUCUCUCUCUCUCUCUCUCUCUCUCUCUCUACCAUGCCCAGAUUUGUUCUUCUGCUUACCCUCUCGCAACUCCCUAGGCCAUAGUAUCUGCAAUCUCUUUACAUCUACUUUCUCUGCACUUCUUUUGUUUCUUCAUGAGAGUUCUAUUUCCAGAUCUAUUUCAUUCUUUACUACUCAAUCGGUUUAUGGGUCAGAGUAUGGGUUCGAUAGUUUACUCAGUUUUCCUAUUGCAAUUGAUUUUCUCUACGGUUCCUUUGUUUUCCUACUUAUGUUUGCUUUGCUUUUUUGGAGUCAGUUUACAUGUUUUGAACCCGUAACAGAUCACUUCGAAUGAUGAGAGAGGAUAGCAUAAAUACCUUUAUGAAAUUACAAAUAGGAUGGUGAGAUGAAGGGAUAAACAGAUGAAGAACUUGGAGAUCUGGGUAGCAGAGGCCGGUAAAAGAGGAACUGCAGAACUGGAAUCUAAUAGGUUUAGAUUANNNNNNNNNNNNNNNNNNNNUACUACUACUACUACUACACUCACACNCUCUCUCUCUCUCUCUCUCUCUCUCUCUCUCUCUCUCUCUCUCUCUCUCUCUCUCUCUCUCUCUCUCCCCCCCCCACUGUUGUGCUCUCCUUUCACCGGUAGAGUCCUCAACCUCCGUUGCCAGAGCCGUUGCCAUCAAGGUCGCCGUCCCACUGAAUCCGAAUCUAAAUCCACUCUCGGCAAUUGUUAGUAGUAUAUGUGGUCUGUUUUAGCAACUUUUUGAGAUUCACAUUGUAUCAUCGGGUCUCAUUCUCUAACUUGAGGUAAUGACGUCGUCUUAUUUAUUGAUCAGAACUUAACUCAUUUCCCUAACAACUAAAAAAAUUCUACCAUAUUCUGUGUCUUAAUCCUUAUUCCAAAACAGUCGACAUAGACGUGCAUGACAGUUCUUAAAUACAUUAGUGAAAAGAGACAAUUAAAUUUAAAACAAAUAGUCCAUGAAGACAUCAUAAAAUGGCAUAACCACUACCCCUGAACACCUGAACAAAAUAUGCUCGCUUAAUAGAGGACGCACUUAUUGGCACUAACCAAAAAAAUUGAAAUGUAACCAAACAUAAAUAUAGGCCAUCACGAAUCGCUUUCCUCUCAAAACCGUUGAUACAAGCAUCUCAGAGAAACUUCAGACCAAAUAAAAGAAUGUCAGAACAACCGCGAAACAGUUUGUUCUGGAAAAUGCAACCCCCUUGACCAUUAUUCAUCUAAAUAAUAUGUUGUGUAACCAAACCAACUCCAAUCAAUAAUAUACAUGGGGGCUAAUUUUGCCUUUAGCUUGAGCAACCAAAUGUUCUUCUGUAUCAUGUUCAAAAUUUGAAACUUUGGAACUUUAUAGUAGAACUGCUAUGUUCUAUUCCAUCAAUUGGAGUUGAGUCUUGACAAAAAGUUUGUAAAACUAAGUUAAAAAUUAAAAUCAUGCAUUGGAGAUGGCCUUAAGCAGAGACCCACCACAAAACCCACUAGAAAUAACAACAACCGAUGAAUACCAUAUCAAGCAUCUUCAAACUUGGUUUUUUUGAUACGCAUCUUCAAACUGGUUGUAGUCGUCAAUAUGAUAGAGGUAAAGUUUAGGUUACACUUGAUCAUGAUCCUUUUGAAAAGGUUUGAUACAAGCACUUUGAUUACAAGGUUCAAAUGUCCUGUCUACACAUAUAAGUUCAUGUCUACAUACAGACAAUACAAGUUCAACGUUACCCAUUGUAAGAUAUAUGUUGGUUCAUAUGAAUGUCCUUUUUCAUUUUAUUUGUCUGUUUCUUUUGCAUUUCUCUUUUCUAGUUUACACAACCAUACGAGCAAAAUUAUACCGGGAACAAAAAACCAAAAUAUUGCAUCUCAGCAUCUCCAAAACCUUUAAAAUUGAUAUUUAACCUCUAAUGUAUUCCCCCAACAUAAGUAGGAUUAGAUUUCAAAUCCUCUGAACUUUUUAUGAUCACAAUUGUGAAUUUUCUUGUCACAGGGAUCUGACCAGAAUUUAUUUUCUUCAACAGGGGCAUGGCAGUUCUUAUGGAAAUUGGUACUGCAAUUGUUACAAAGCUAGCUGAGUACACGGUUGGGCCAGUUAUACGCCAAGUGGGUUAUGUAAUCUGCUACAAAAACAACCUCGAAGAACUACAGACUCGAGUUCAUGAGUUGGGUGAUACCAGAGAAAGCGUGAAGCAUGCUGUUGACACAGAGGAAAGAAAAGGUAAAAAGGUUGAAACAAGAGUCCAGAACUGGAUGACUGAAGUAGUUCGGCUGACUAAGGAAGCAGAUGACGUGAUAGAUAAACACCUCGCACAGACUAAAGAAGCAGAUGACGUGAGAGAUAAACACCUCGCACAGACUAAGGAAGCAGAUGACGUGAGAGAUAAACACCUCGCACAGACCAAGUGUUUAAUCGGCUUUUGUCCUAAUCUAAAGCUUCGUCAUCAUCUGGGCAGGAAAUCAAAAAGAUUGGUUCUAGAGGUGGCAGAGCUUGAGAAGAAGCAGCCGAAUUUUGAUAAUAUUGCAUAUGUUGCUCCCCUAGAAGAGGUGUGUAUCCAAGAUUAUGAGGCAUUUGCCUCAAGGACUUCAACUGCGAAGGCUGUGAUCAACGAACUCAGAAAUCCUAAUACCCACAUGACUGGGGUGUACGGUAUUGGGGGUGUCGGAAAGACAACCCUUGUCAAAGAAGUUUAUCAUCAAUUAGCUGCAAGAAGUGACAAGCUGUUUGAAGAGGUAGUUAUGGUACUCGAUCUGAAACGGAAUCCCAGCAUCGAGCGAAUUCAGAAAGCAAUUGCUGAAAAGUUAGACCUCGAGCUUCCUGAAAGUGGGACCCCAGCUGGAAGAGCAAGAUUAAUAAGUAACAGGAUAAAAAACAAGAAGACUCUUGUGAUCCUAGAUGAUGUCUGGGAGAACAUUGAUUUGGUGGCUGUUGGCCUUCCUCGCAUGGCAACUCUCAAAAUUUUGUUGACUUCACGAAGCAAGCUAGUAUUAGCUUCAGACAUGGGUACACAAAAUGAGUUUCCUCUCAAAGUAUUGAACAAAGAAGAAACUUGGAGAUUAUUUAAGAAAAUGGCGGGUGAUAUUGUUGAAAAGCCGGACAUACAAACUAUAGCAGCCAAAGUGGCUGAGAAAUGUGGAGGUUUGCCGCUUUUGAUAGUGACUGUUGCAAGAUCUCUGAAAGAUAGUCCAUUACAUGACUGGAAAGAUACUUUCAGACGACUGAAGAAGUUUGAUGGAAAAGGACUGGAAGAUAAAACAUACUCUGCUAUAGAGUGGAGUUACGAUAAAUUGAAUAGUGAGGAGCUUAAGUCGGUAAUUUUGCUUUGCGCAAGUGAGGUUGGGAGUGCCAAUGAUGUUAAUAUCCUUGACUUGUUGAAAUACAGUAUGGGGCUGGGUUUCAUAAAGAAUGUAGAUACAAUGGAAGAAGCACGGGAUGCCUUGAAUUCACUGAUUAAGAAGCUUCAGUAUUCUUGUCUGUUGCUAGAUACAGAUGAUAAGCAAUGGGUCAGAAUCCAUGAUCUUGUCAAACAUGUUGCUCAACAUAUUGCUGCUAGAGAUCACCAUGUGUUAUCAGUAUCUUAUGGAAGUGAGUUGAAAGACUGGCCAGAUAAGGAAUUCUGCAAAAAGUGCACUAGGAUCUCUCUCAUGAAAUGCCAAACUCCCGAGCUACCUCAAGUUCUGCAAUGCCCAGAACUAACAAUGUUUCAUUUAAGCAGUGUUGAUGUUGACUCCCGUGAAAUCCCAAGCAACUUUUUUAAAGAGAUGAAUAAGCUCAAAGUGUUGGAUUUGACAAAACGGAGUAUAGCAUCACUACCUCCAUCUCUUAAAUGCCUCAAAGAUCUUCAGACAUUGUGCUUGGAUUCAUGCACGUUAGGAGACGUUGCUUUUGUUGGUGAGCUACAUAACUUGAAGAUGUUGAGCUUUUUAUAUUCCAAGUUCAAACAAUUACCGGAGGAAAUAGGAAAAUUAACUAGUCUACAAUUGUUGGAUUUGACCGGGUGCUCGCAACUCGAAGUAAUCUCACCUCAUGUUAUAUCCAAGUUGAUACGACUUGAAGAGUUGAGAAUGGGUAAACAUAGCUUUAACAUAUGGGAGGCUGGAAGAGUCGGCGAUGCUAAAAGAAGUAAUGCAAGCCUUGAAGAGCUAAUGUGUUUGCCCCGGCUAACUGCAUUACAAAUACAUGUCCCAGAUGCUAACAUUCUUCCAGCAGAUUUGUUCACCACUAGUAAGUUGGAGAGAUUCCAAAUAUGUAUUGGUUCUAUGUGGAAAUGGGAUGAUGUUGAUGAAGCUCUCAAUGCACUAAAGCUCAAUCUCACUACCAACAAAGAAUUGGACCCAGGUCUAAAAAUGUUGCUCGAAAGAACUCAAGACUUGUACGUGGAAGGGAUGGAAGGUGUUAACGAUAAGUUUUUCCAUGAGCUAGCCACAGGGGGUUAUCAGCAAUUGAAACAUCUACAUGUUCAAAACAAUGCUAAAUUUGCAUACACCGUUAAUACGAAGGUACGCUCCGGAGCAAAUAGUUAUUUUUUAACAUAGUGAUUGUCCAACUACAUUUAGUUGAUGGGUUAUUCAUCUAAAGUAAAUAAUGUAAUUAUACAUGCAAUUUGUCAUUUCCUAAACUUGAUUAUUACCAGGUUGGUUUUCCUAACUUAACAUGGUUGGCGGUGAGUGAGGUCAACAGUUUAAGAUAUUUGUUAUCAUCUUCAAUGGCUAGAAGUUUAUCACAACUGAAACGUCUUCAGAUAUCCGGAUGUCAAAUCAUGGAAGUGAUCAUUUUAAUAGAAGAAUCUAGUCAAGAAAUUGCAGAGAACUUCUUUCCCCAACUACAAGAUUUGGAGCUAAAAGGGCUUCCAAACCUCACUAAAUUCUGCACAACAAGUUACGUUGACUUGCCAAAUCCAUCCUGUAAGAGAUUGCGAUUAGAUAGUUGUACUGAAAGUGGUGGAAUCUGUGAAGAAGUUGAAGAGAUUGACGCAGAAGGAAACCUUGAUAUUGUGAUACAACACUUUCUUUUUGAAAAUAAGGUGAACAAAUACAUGUAUUUUCUUACCUAUUUCUUUUACCUUGAUAUAUAGAAUUUUAACUUAUUCUCUAAGUGACAGUUUUCAAGGGACUGUGAGGGACAAGUGAUUCAGGCUUUUUCAUACAUGCGGUUAAGAUUCAUUUGUCCUUUAUAGUCUUUUAAAAACCGUCUCUUGUGUAAACAAACAUGUCUCUAUAAGUAUCAGUUUGUUACAUAUUAUUGGUUAGCGGAUCCAUAAAUAAGAUGAAUAUCAUGUAUAUGCAGGUAGAGUUUCCAAACUUGGAGAAGUUAUAUCUUAAUGGACUAGCAAAGUUGACGACAAUAUGGAACCAUCAACUUUCUCUAGGGAGUUCAAAAAACCUAGAGACAAUAGAGAUUGUUUUAUGUGACAAUUUGAAGAGUAUUUUUCCAUCCUCAGUGGCCAAAAGUCUUCAACAGUUGAGGAGUCUAAAAGUGGAAAAUUGUGGGGUGGAGGAAAUCAUCUCGAAAGAGGAUGAUGUACAUACAACACCUACGUUUGUUUUCUCAAAACUAACAUAUGUGAGAUUUGAAAAUUUGCCCCAACUUGAGAGUUUCUAUCCAGGAUUGCAUUAUUUGGAGUGGCCGUCACUCUUAACUUUGCUGGUGUAUCGUUGUACUAAGGUGCAUAUAUUUGCGAAGGGAACACGUGAAUGGAAGAAUCCAUGCACUCCAAAAAAACAGUCGUUGUUUUUGCUUGAGAAGGUACUAAUAUAAACUUUCACUAUAAUAAUUCCUACUCGUAUAAUCUAUAUAUAUAUAUAUAUAUAUGUGUGUAUAUAUAUGUAAAUAAGCACCUGCUUAAAUUCACCGUUCAAAGCCACGAACAAAAAUGAAUGUUUGAGGUUGUUGCUCUAUAUAAAAUAUUUAUUAAUUCUAAUUACUAACUAGUAAUUAUGUAAUUGAUAUUUCAGGGUUCAUUCCCCAACUUGGAAGAUUUAGGCUUGGGCAUUAUGGAGAAUUGGGAUAGUCCGCCACUCCACUUGUUUAAGACACUAAAAUCUCUUUAUACUUACGCACACACCAACUCAACUUUAAAUUCCCUUGAGAAAUUACUUGGUCUUGAAAAAGUCAAUGGAGAAGAAAUACAUGCAGCUACGGAUGGGACCUUCCCAGUUUUAAGAGAGUUGCACCUUUGCGGGAUGCAGAAGGUGAUGAAUCUUGGGGAUGAUAGCUCCGGAUCAGCAGCUCCAUAUUUCCCCAUAGUGGAAAUUCUGGAGAUAGCGGACUGUGAAAGCUUAAAGAAUUUAAGAUCACCAGCAAUAUCCUUCAACAAUCUAACAACUCUGCAAGUAAGUCGUUGUAAGGGAUUGAAAUACUUGAUAUCUUUCUCCAUGGCCAAAAGUUUGAUGCAACUCACUACACUAGAAGUUUGUGAUUGUGAGGAGAUGAUAGAAAUAGUUGCAAGCAAUGGAAAUGACGGAUCAGAAAAUGAGAUUGAAUUCAAGGUGUUGAAACAAUUGGAACUAUCUGCUCUACCGAGUCUGAGAGGUUUCUGCUCGAAAACUCGCAUUGUCAAAUUUCCAUUACUGGAAAAUUUAUUGAUGACCGGUUGUUCUGAACUGGAAGGAUUCAUCUUUGAUCCUACGGAUAAAAGUACACUUGGCAACAAUGUGAAAGACACCAGCUCACAUGAAAACACUGAUAAUGGAGUAGUGCAACGAUUCCUUUUCGACAACAAGGUGAACUAACUAAUAAUACUCAACUUUCUUUACCAAUUUAAUUCAGAUCAUAUCUGCAUAGCUUCAUUUCCACAGUUGUAAAUUUUUAUACAGGUUGAAUUUCCGAAGUUGACGAGUUUGUCUCUCAAGGGUCUAACCAAGUUGACCACAAUAUGGAAUACACAAAUACAGGAGACAUCAGCAGCACCACAGCCGAGAACUUUUGAUUGUGAGAAUCUAGAAUAUGUGGAGAUUGAUACGUGUGAGAGUUUGAAAAGCAUUUUUCCAUUGUGUGUGGCUAGAAAUCUCCAGGAGUUAAAAAGUCUCAUAGUGAAGAAUUGCGAAGUGAAGGAAAUCGUUGCAAGAGAGGAGGGAACACAAACAAUAUUUAAAUUUGUGUUUCCAAAAGUAACAUUUGUGAUGUUUGAGAAGUUGUCCCAGCUCAUAAACUUCUACCCCGGGAUGCACGUCUGUAGCUGGCCAUUGCUUAAUGAUUUGGGAAUGUAUGAAUGCGACAAAGUGGACAUAUUUGCUAAAGAAAUUUCUAGUUUCCAACAAAAGCGUGAGGUGCAAAGUUACAGUACUCCUCCUCUACUUGAUCGGCAAUCUUUCUUUUCUGUUGACAAGGUACAAUUAUUUCAUAUACUUUUCUUCGUUAAUUUUCUCUCUGCAUCCAAAUUUUAAUCUGAUUUGUCUGUUAUAUAUGUUUUGACUAUAUUUUAGGAUUCAUUUCCCAACUUGGAGCGGUUGGGCUUGAAUGCAAUGGAGUUCUCCAAUGGUCCACUCCCGGCAGCAGCGCAGUUGUUUGGCAAACUAAAGAAACUGGAUGUUUGUUGUCCAGAGUCCAAGUCACUUGUUUUCCUUGACAAAUUACUCCUCGACCCAGCUGAAGGAAACAGCUCUGCUAGUGCGGUUGAGAUAAGGACCCAGCAGCUCCCGCAUUUGAAAGAGUUGCGGCUUGUUCGAAUGAAGAAGCUGAUGCAUCUAGGCCAAGAGGAUAGGGAGGAUAACUCACGAUCGGCCCCUCGUAUCCCAAAUAUUCCGAACCUGGAAAUUCUAGUCGUGAACGGUUGUCACAGCUUAAGGAAUCUGAGAUCCUCCGCAAUAUCCUUCAACAACCUAACAAAUUUACAAGUAAGUUGGUGCUUGGAAUUGAAAUACUUGAUAACUUACUCCAUGGCCGACAAUUUGAUGCAACUCACAACACUGGAAGUUGAGGGGUGCCAAAGACUGGUGGAAAUAGUGGGAAGCAAUGAUGACCACGAUUCAACAGAUGAUGAGAUUACAUUCCCAAGGUUGAAACAUCUGAAACUAUCUUAUCUACCAAGACUGCAGGGAUUUUGCUCCGGAAAUUGCCUCGCUAAAUUCCCGUCCUUGGAAACUUCAACCAUGAGCAACCGCCUGAAAUUCAAGAUUUUUGCAACUGAUGAUCAAUCGAUACGGCUAACCAACGAAGAGGGAGACACAGAUGUCGAUGCUGCGGGUAAGUCUUAAUUCAUCGUUCAUGGUUAAUGUUCUGUAUGUUCCCGGUGCCCUUAUCAUGGAAAUUUGUAUACGAAAUGCUGAUUUACGACAAUAUGUGAUAUUCCUAGAAGAGGAGCUGACUGCUGAGGAUGAAAUUAAUUCGGCAAAUACUGAUUUGAUAUCUCAACCACGUUUCACCGUAAGUAAACCUUCUUUGGGUUAUAUCUAUAUACACAAUAAAGAGUUUCCCGCUUGAUUCUACCUUCAAUGUUGUUAUUACUUAUUAGCUGUUCUAACAAAAUUUCGUACUCAACCUUACAGAUACCAGUGCUCCACAUUUCUUCAAUUGCUCAUCUUUUCUGGUCUAACAUAAGUGGAAGAUUGUUCACCAAAUUGUGCAGUCGUGGCCGGGUUAAACUUACGGCGUGGGCUACGCGCAUCAAGUGUUUUGAGAAAAUGCUUGUGUGGGGAAUUUGCUGCAUUUCAAUUCUUAUGCUUCUAUUGAUUUACAUGUGCCCAAGUAUUACUUCUUCUACUUGGCAAUAAAAGAAAAACGAAGAACAUGACAGAAGAACAGAGUGAUUCAUAUUGGAGCUCUCCUCAUUGUUGUGCAACCGAGAGCUCUGUACCUUCAGUCUGGUAGUUUUUCUUUCAGCUUAAUAUGUUACUGUAAUUGCUGAUUUAGAAAUCUUCAUUUGUUAGCUGCGUUUUGCACUUUAUCUCUUUGCUUAAUUGACUGUGAACGAGGCUUCUAGUAAGAAGGGAGAAUAAGUUUGGAUCCAGUGUCUUAGUGAUUUUAAUUGUACGAGUCAAUCACCCGCGCCCUGCUGCGGGCUAGUAGCUAUUCAGUUUUUGUAGGUACCAUUAUCUUUACAAACAUGGCAAUCAUAAGUAUAGUUAGUUGAUCACAAAAUAAGCAAAUGAUCAAAGUAUUGGAACCAUAAGUGAAUUUAACUUGUAGGAGUUAGAACGCACAACCUAUUAAGGGAUGGCUCAUACAUGGGACCAAGAAGGUUCCUUGAUAAAUUUAUUGCAGAAAGCUUGGAAUGUUCCUAAGUAUUGAUGGUCAAUAUGGUAAAAAGUGAAAAAUGGCAUGAAAGAAGUAAAUAAAAGAAGUAACACAACUGACAGGGGCAUACAUGUCUUUUUAAGCAGAACAAUGACAGAUUUUAAAUAAGAUGCAUUAACGGGUAACACUGUCAUUUCACUAAACAGUGCCAACUCCUUAAUAUUAUUAGAGCAGAUGCAACAAUGAGUUAGUUUGAUGGUUAGAUCAAGCUAGAGGACUAAAAACACAAUCCACCAGGAAGAAAUUAGAUCGGGUUAAACGUGGGUAUCAUGUGGAGCCUACCUAAUCUGACUAAAGCAUCGGGUGAGGAUUAACCCAAGUAUUAGUCCAGACCAAUUUAACUGUGGGGGCUCAAACAUGUGCUAAUUGAUCCACUGAUGACAAUGAUUUUGCCACUUGCACCCAAACAUGUCUUUAAUUUGGGUCAUUCGAUCAAAAUCAGAUGGAUCACCUUUAAAGGCCACAUACAUUCUUUUUUUUUUUUUCUCAAGUAACCAUGUUUAAUUUAUUUUUAAAAAAUAUGAAUAAUAGUUGGUCCUCAUAUUGAUCACAUUGUUGUAUUGUACAUUCGAGGACCAAAGACUUAUUUAAAUGAACCCGAGGUGAAAAUUACUCUAACUCAACCCAAGAUGGCUGCAUUUGCUGUUAUAUAUAGAGAAAAUGACCUAUGCAUAAAAACAGGCAAAUUAAAGCUUAUUUAAAUAAAAAAAUUUUCUUGUGCCCAUUCAACUUAAACUGAAUUAAAAUACGAAUAGACUCCUAAUGAAAUAAUAGAACUACCACCCCCACUCACUCUCUCUCUCUCUUCUCGACGAUAACUAACGAUGCCUCAUUGACGCCGACACCGUGGCUUCACGGCCUCCCUUCUCCGCUGCCGAUCCCGGUUGGAAUCAACAACGCCGACGUCGCCGCCACACUGCCUGUGUCCUCUCUAUCCUCUCACUUUCAGUCUUUGUUGGAAUCAAUGAGGCGGUGAGCGUCGCCGGAGUCACGGGAGAGCAUCGUCGAUGUCAUAGAAUCUGAGGUCGUAGCUUCAGUGCUCGCGAUCGAGGCUCGAAAGAAUUGAUCGAAUUGAGACGAAGUAAUCGAAGAGUUUGCAGAAGUUGUCAAGGAAUUUGCAGAACUUGGAGCGCUUUAGGAGGUCUAGAUGUAUCAAUUUUAGAUUUUCAGUCUAGUCUUGUUCGUUUUGUUGCCAAGGUUUAGAUCUGAGAGUUUUUAAUUUAAUUUUGCCAUUUCUGGUGGUAAAGUGAUAUGGAUUUUUGUGAGGAAGUGAGGUAGUGCUUUGGAGUAUGGUGAAAGUACAAAGCUACGUGUGUGAUUAGAUUGAGCUUAAUUAGGACUGGCUGAUUGUUGUGUGUACUUAGGGUGCGUUUGGUGCAGCUUAUAAGCUCUUGGACUUAUAAGCAAGGAUGAAGUUGUUGUUUGGUAAACACAUAAAUAAGCUCCUUUUUAAACAAGUCGGGUCUAUUUUUCAGGUAAAAGGAGAAGGAAGGCAACCCCUCCUUUCACUUAUAAGGAGAAGUCAGAAAAACGCGGUACUGUAGCUGCGAAUUAAUGAAAUUUUCGAAAUGGCAAUGGGUACCCUUGUAAACUUCAACAAAUUACAAGGGAGCCGCCUCCAUCGCGUCUCAACUCUCUCACUCUCUGCUCGCUCCUCCGUUUCUUCAACAUCAACGCGUCGAAGAUCUCGGCACCUCUUCAUCGCUGCUGAUGUUGGCCGUCGCGAUCUUCGUCAACAAGUUCCCCUGAGUCUUCUCCGCCACAAGUAUCUCUUCCUCCGGCGCCUUCGACCCCCGGUCCAUCGUCCUCGCCGUCUCCGGCAUGUCAAUCUCGUCGGAAUCCCACCAUCCAGAUCUUCAUCAACACUCCCUUCACAGCACUCUGUCCGUCGUCGGGGACGAAACCUGGCCGGGAGAAAUAUCUUAUAUCCUAGUUGCUGUUUUAAUAUGGGUAUGAUUGAUCGAAUCCUUAAUUAUUGAAUGUAUACACUUGCUUCAGUAUGUCUUAUUUUUCUUGGGUAGAUUGUUGAAUUGAUAUGUCUUGGGUAUGUGCCUUCGUCUUUGAAAGGGGGUUCUUCUGUUUGCUGCAAGUCUAGGUGCGAGGAUAGAGNNNNNNNNNNNNNNNNNNNNNNNNNNNNNNNNNNNNNNNNNNNNNNNNNNCCGGAGGAGGGUGGUGGUGGUUUAGAAGAAGAAGAAGAAGUGUGGUGGUGAAGAAGACGAAGAAGAAGGAAGAAGAAGAAAAGUGGAGGGAAAGUUUUGGCAGAAUGAUUCAAAAUUCCAAAUUUUUGGCGGAAAUGACCUAUAUGUGACGAAAUAAAAAAUUUCGUCGCAUGAGUGAAAAAUUCAAAUUUUUUGGCAUAAGUGAGGACUUAUGCUACAAAAUAAAAAUUCGUCGCAUGAGACCCAACUUAUGCGACGAAAUUGAAAAAUUCGUCUCAUAAGUGAGACCCAACUUAUUUCGUCGCAUAAGUUCUCACUUAUGCGACGAAUUUUUCAAUUUCGUCGCAUAAGUUUUCACUUAAGAGAGGAAACCAGUUUCGUCUCAUAAGUGCUCACUUAAGAGACGAAAAAUAAUUUCGUCUCUUAAGUUGUUACUUAAGCGACGAAUUUGAAAAAUUUCGUCUCUUAAGCCUUUUUUCCUAGUAGUGUUAUAAUAGCUUUGCAGGAUUGAAUUCUUAGAUUCAUGGCGUUUGUUGAAAGAAACUUCAAAUUGUAUGGUCGAAAACUUGAAAUAGAUAAUUUGACACAUUUGGAAUCAUCUUUUUCUGUUUUCAAAUAUGUGAAUGCUUUCUGCAAAUAUGUCCUACUGAUUAUGAGGUUCUUUUGUCAAUGACUCGAAAAGUGGUUUAGAUAGUUAGAUGAACAGCUUUACAAUAGCAAAUUGAGGUAAACUGGACAGGAGCAAUUAGGUAGUUAGAACUGAUAUGAUUCAGGAGCAAUAGGGGUAUGUGCAGGAGUACAAACAUGAGCUAGAAGUAGGAGCUUGAGAAGCUCAGGGUUUAGGACCAUAGCUGGUACUAGCUUCCUCAAAAUUUGUAUCCCCUGAAAAACUUGCCUCUGCCAAUUCCCUCAGUUUCUUCAGAUCACUUUUCGGCUCUAGUUUCUGUCCCUUUAGCUGUUUUGCUUCCACUGCUCUCUGCAUACCUAGUGUAGUCUCGGGAGUAGAGGAACUGCUGUCAUCUGUAGAACAUUAGGGCCAGGUGAUCCAGGACUGAGUGUAGGGACUACAGUUGCAGUCAUAGCGCUAAUAGUGUUACUGCCUGGUGCUCUCAUAUCCCUCCUUUCUGAUUUUGCAUCUGGACCUGGAGGCAGACCUGUUGGUAUGACUCUUGGAAGUUGCUUCUUUGGAAGGAAUGGGAUGAGAAGGCCCUUAAUAGCAGGAAACUUCAAACCAAGUUUGAAUGCAUUCUUUAGAGGCUGUGAGAAUCUUAAUAGGAACUUCAUCAAGGCAUACCACUCGUUGAUAAUAGGAACUUCACCACCUUCAUUAGAUCGUCCCUUUCGUCCAUGUUCUAUACUGACUUUUAGACACCCUCUGCCUUUAUCGUAAUUCAAGUUCCUAGCCAAAAGAUAUAGGUUCACACUUCAUAUGCAAACCUUAAAGCACUUCCAGGUUACAAGCUGGUUUCUUGGAUAAUUCAACUUGUUUCCUAAGCAUAGAUGUGAAUGUUUGAACAAUGAGAAACAAAAUCAUGAGCAAGGUAAAGAGGAUGGCUUGGGUUUGACAGAGAGGGCGAGAAUCUGCUUCUUUGCUUGUUUGGACAGAAAAUGAAUUUGCAGUGUCGUACGCGCCAUGGCCUCCAUUUUGGACAUCUUCAACAGUCCAGGUGCCUUUUUCUCUUCUUUGGGUAGAGGUACGAUUCAAGUCGUGAAUCUGAAAUAUCCAAUUGGGUUUUGGUUCUCAAUUUGUUUGUUUUCUUUGUUUAGGUGCUCCGAAGCAACCAAAUGGGAACAAACGACGAGGUAAAUUUCAUUCAUGUCUUCUCUUGUUGGGAUUUUUUUUGGUGGAGUGCGGAAUUUGUUUGAAUGUGAUUUCAAUUUGGUGUUGCCGUAAAUGUGUUUAUGAUUUUGGUUGGUUUUUGUGAUUUCAAUGGUGAUUGCAUUUCUAUUUCAGUUUCUCAUUGAUAGUACCAUUUUUAAGUGACCGAUAAACUUAGUAGGAUUCUUUGCUUUAUAUGUAUGCAUGUUUGAUAAAAUUUACUUUAAAAUGCACACUGUAUACUGUAUCUGGGUAUGUGUAUCCAUAUCUCUUUUAAGGUAGUCAUAUGCUUCUCCUUCCAUUAUCUUGCUUCUAGAUAUGCCUGUAGUUUCCUUGGACAAGGAAUGAAACAAAUAACAAGAAAUCUUAGAAGCUAAAGCAUUAGAGUAGGUGGACAAGUCCAAAGUUGCCAGGGUGUUCUAAAUUUCCCAUGCAAGAUUAAGUUUUUAGAUGUUUCUUAUAGAUAGUCUGUGAUUAUUUUGAGGCCUUGAAGGGAAUUGUCCUCCAUCGAAUAUGUGAGGUCACAGUGACAUUGCUUGCUUCAUCAGAUGAGAACUCUGAAAUAUUGGCUUUGAUCUUUGAUAAGAAUUCGCUUGCUUAUGCCUUAAAGGUAGAUGUCCAGGAAAUCUUUGAUCAUUUGUUUGCUAUAUUUUUGAUAGCUAUAUGGAUGUUAGUUGAUCUGUUUACUGAUCUUGAUUGAUGUUAUUAAUGCAUGUGCGAAGGAGGAGGAUCCGAGUAUCUGAAGAUAUGAUUGGUUCUCGUUUCAAGUUCAAGGUUCAAAACUGCUGGAGGUCAGGUUCGUUGUUUUAUUGAUUGAUGAGUGUAUAGUUGAUUGUUACUAUGGUUAUUAAAGCUUACCCUAGAAUGGUCAAACUAAACUCCGGUUCUUAUGGUUGUGGAGUGGUGAAUUUGAUAGCUUUGAGAGUGUAUUGUUAGUGUGUCUGUUUCUAAAAGAUGUUCAUGUUAUGUCCCUGAUUAUUUGUUAGAAAUCAAAUGGGCUGUAACUGCAAAUAGGUUUUUUCUGUUUCAACAACAUUCUCUUUGUCAAACAGGUCUUGAGGAGCUUCACCAUAGGCAUUGAUAAGUUUUGGAUCGCACUGUAUUGGCAAUGUUGCUUCUUGGCAGGUUGAUCUAUUUCGGUAACCUUGUGUAAGUUUCACACUUUCAAACAGGACUAUAAGUUAUUUCAUGUCCAAGUGAAGUUAUUCUGUUAUUUUCUCAUUGUGCUUUGAGGGUUCAAAAAGUUUGUGUAAAAAUCAUCAUUUUUAUGUUGGAAAAACAGAAAGCCAAUCUCCUUAAUAAGAAAGAUUGAAUUCUAAACUUGAUUGAACUAGCUUGAUCACAUGAAAAGAAAAAAGCUUCUCAUAGAAAUUUGAUGUUGGGUGCGUGCAUAUCCAUACAAGUCAACUAUUUUCAUUUUAUGCCCAAAAGAGGAAAUCAGAUGAUAAAGUUGGAGUUACGAUAACCACAGUGGUCGUCAUCUUCUGUUGCUUUUCGUUUGCUUGCAGCACCUCUGCUGCUAACUGAAUCCAUUUACGAGUAGAGUACCUUCUGUUUUUCUUUGGACCAAUGUAUUGUUUUGCUGUUUGCUUUGGUUUUGUGUAAAUCACUUUGUUUUUAUUUUUUUGGCUUUUCGGUUUUGAAUUCAAAAUUCAUAUUCUUUUUUCACAUUCUGAAUCUCUUGUUAAUCAUUUGCUGGAAUGUUUUUCUUUAAAUGGAAAAGACUUGCAUUUUCUCCUUCUUCUUUUUUAAUAUGGUAACUACUAAUUAAUUAGAAAAUGAGAAAUGAUGAUUUGCAUCAUAUUUUAUAUCUGAUAUCGGUUACGAGGAUUCCAGUCAUGAAGCUAAUUCAUCAAGGUGUAUGCUAAUAUACCAUACAGUUAUCCUUCAUUUAUGAAGUUUAGGGACACAUUCAAAAUAAGAAAAUAAGUCAACAGACUCAUUUUGCUGUUGAAGGAAAAUUUAUGAACAUAGAAUUUAUGUGAUUACUACUCAUAUUUUAGCUUGAAGUAACUGGGAACAGAAUAACGUGGUUUAUUGUGUGUCAGUUACAGUUUGGAGUUUGUAGAUAUUGACCUGUGAAUGUGCUGAAAGUAUGAGAGAUUGCUGAAGAAUUUUGAAUGUAACUACUCUGCUUUUUGGGUUUUGCACUUUAUAUGCAUUUUAUCAAAGCCUCCCAAGGUAUGUGCAUUUUAUCAGGGGGCAUGCGUCUACCAGAGCCUGAGAUGUACUACUUCAUGAACUGCGUUCUGCGUUCGAACUGCCCUGCAGUCCUCACGUUAUGUGGGUCUUGCCCAUGCUGGUCACAAUGUAGCCCACGGAAAGCCCUCCAAGGAACCGCUUUGUUACCAUGUUUCAGAAGUACUUGUUUUUUUGAGAAGAUCAGAAGUACUUGUUGCGCGGUACCGAUUGCAUCUACCACUGUUUCCUUUUUCUUUAAUUAGUUCUCAUGGUACAUGUUUGUGAGCAAAUAACUACAUGCAAGGCAGUUACAGGCUGCAUAUCAGUAACAUUUGUCGCUAGGACUAGGUAGGUGAAAAAGAAAACAAACUUUACAGUUUAUUAAAGCAAUGGAAAUACAACAAUCCAUACUUACUAUCAAAUACACGCACAAGUUAUACGACUUUUCCAACACAAAACUAGCAGUUCUUUAAGUAGCAGAAACAAAUAAAAAAAAAAAAAACAGAAUCCGUCACACACAAGCCAAGGACUCGAUAUAUCGAUAAUUACGCUGACCAACUCGUUGCAAAGAAUCAUCAACGCCGGCUUGAGGUGUUAAGUCGAACGAUUUGAAGGUGUUACUCUUAACAUUGUACGAGAAGACUUUUCCAGGAGCAUGCAGCAACAGAGAUGAACUUUCCUCUUCAUUUUCCCCUUUAGCAAGAAAGAGAACACAAAACACCUUAAAGCGUGGGUAAGCAGUGCAUAAAAGAUCAAGAUCCACAUUGUACUUGACAAACCACCCAGAGUAGUCUCUUCCCAUCUCCAACACUUCAAAUUUAGUAAAAGAAGGCGAAUAAAUAUCAAUAAGAUGCAAAUGGCCGUCCCUCGACUCCUUAAAGUAUCUAUACUCCCUAGUUUCCCAGUUCUCCUCACAACGAGGAAGACCAUCAACCAAUCCAACACGCUCUUCAUCUAAGUGAUAAUAUGCCAUCUCACA